rnacentral:rRNA from 1 species
GGGUUGUGAGGUUAAGCGACUAAGCGUACACGGUGGAUGCCCUGGCAGUCAGAGGCGAUGAAGGACGUGCUAAUCUGCGAUAAGCGCCGGUAAGGUGAUAUGAACCGUUAUAACCGGCGAUUUCCGAAUGGGGAAACCCAGUGUGACUCGUCACACUAUCAUUAACUGAAUCCAUAGGUUAAUGAGGCGAACCGGGGGAACUGAAACAUCUAAGUACCCCGAGGAAAAGAAAUCAACCGAGAUUCCCCCAGUAGCGGCGAGCGAACGGGGAGGAGCCCAGAGCCUGAAUCAGCAUGUGUGUUAGUGGAAGCGUCUGGAAAGGCGCGCGAUACAGGGUGACAGCCCCGUACACAAAAGCGCAUGUGCUGUGAGCUCGAUGAGUAGGGCGGGACACGUGGUAUCCUGUCUGAAUAUGGGGGGACCAUCCUCCAAGGCUAAAUACUCCUGACUGACCGAUAGUGAACCAGUACCGUGAGGGAAAGGCGAAAAGAACCCCGGCGAGGGGAGUGAAAAAGAACCUGAAACCGUGUACGUACAAGCAGUGGGAGCACAGGUUUACCUGUGUGACUGCGUACCUUU